rnacentral:lncRNA from 1 species
CAAAAUCUGAAUUCCUAAACACAACUAGCCCCAGGAGUUUCAGAUAAGGGAUUCCAGACCAGUCUUUCCAGUUAAGCCUUUGUUUGGUGCCUAGAGGUUGUAAUCCCAUCCCCACCAGUUCGCCUGGGGCAAUGCACCCUACUGAGAUGGGGGUUGUUCUCUUUAUUUUGCAAAGUGGGGAGAGGGAUGAUUAGGUCCUGAACCCAAGGCAGGUUUGGGGCAGUUUUAGGAAUAGCGUGGAGGGAGUUGGAAGCUCUGGGAAUAGAUUCCUUUAGGACAGUCCAUGCCGCAGGUCCCACUUCGAGGUCUACUGCUCCAGGGGUGGCCUUGGAAUGAGCACUGGGGUUGAAGAAGUGGUACAUUUUUGUUGUUGAAGGGUCUCAGCAUUGGGAAGUCCUGUGGAUUAAAUCUCACGGACUCUGAGGCAGUCCUUUGGAAGUCCUAGAGAGGAUUUGGGGUCCCCUUUGACCCGUGGCUUCACCAGGAUACCCAGUAAGUUCUUUCUGGUCUCCUUGUUCUAGGAUGCAAUGUGUGUUGCAAGUCUUCUUGGAAUCAGCUACAGGACCUGUGCCGCCUGGCCAAGCUCUCCUGCCCUGCCCUCGGCAUCUCCAAGAGGAAUCUCUAUGACUUUGAAGUGGAGUACCUGUGUGAUUACAAGAAAAUCCGCGAACAAGAGUAUUACCUGGUAAAAUGGCGUGGAUACCCAGACUCAGAGAGCACCUGGGAGCCACGGCAGAAUCUCAAGUGCGUGCGCAUUCUCAAGCAGUUCCAAAAGGACUUAGAAAGGGAGCUGC